rnacentral:rRNA from 1 species
CGGCGGCUCGAGUGGUGGCCACUAUUAUUGGGCUUAAAGCGUCCGUAGCUGGACUCUUAAGUCUCUUGGGAAAUCCGCCGGCUUAACCGACGGGCGUCUAAGAGAUACUGAGAGUCUAGGGACCGGGAGAGGUGAGAGGUACUCCGGGGGUAGGAGUGAAAUCCUGUAAUCCCUGGGGGACCACCGAUGGCGAAGGCAUCUCACCAGAACGGCUCCGACAGUGAGGGACGAAAGCUGGGGGAGCGAACCGGAUUAGAUACCCGAGUAGUCC